UCAUUCUUAUUUCUUUCGAAUUAAGAGGUGUAACUCUAUGACAUAAUCAUAAAGUUCAAACCAUUCAACUGAGGCAGUUUAUAAAUCUUUCUCGACUACCUUGGAGCUUGUGGUAUAGGAACUAGGUUGUUAUAUUUGUUGAUCACUAUCUUGUCUCUCAAAGAACCCAUUCUUUGAGUUCUAUCCCUCGUUCAUUUGCUCUAUUUUAGGCAAAUCCUAGUGUAGGAUUACAAUGAACUACCCAACAAACAACAUUUGCUAGUUGGUUUAUAGAAGUGAUAUCCAAAUGUUAAUUUAAGGAUACCCACAAGAUAAUUCUUUAAACAAAUAU
rnacentral:lncRNA from 1 species